rnacentral:rRNA from 1 species
CCUACGGGAGGCAGCAGUAGGGAAUCUUUCACAAUGGGCGAAAGCCUGAUGGAGCAAUGCCGCGUGCAGGACGAAGGCCUUCGGGUUGUAAACUGCUUUUAUAAGCGAGGAAUAUGACGGUAACUUAUGAAUAAGGAUCGGCUAACUACGUGCCAGCAGCCGCGGUAAU